rnacentral:rRNA from 1 species
UACGAAGGGGGCUAGCGUUGUUCGGAAUUACUGGGCGUAAAGCGCACGUAGGCGGGUGGUUAAGUCAGGGGUGAAAUCCCGGAGCUCAACUCCGGAACUGCCUUUGAUACUGGCCAUCUAGAGAUCGGAAGAGGUGAGUGGAAUUCCCAGUGUAGAGGUGAAAUUCGUAGAUAUUGGGAAGAACACCAGUGGCGAAGGCAAUGUUCUGGCUCGUUUCUGACGCUCAGGUGCGAAAGCCAGGGGAGCGAACGGG